UACGGGGGGGGCAAGCGUUGUUCGGAAUUACUGGGCGUAAAGGGCUCGUAGGCGGCCAACUAAGUCAUACGUGAAAUCCCUCAGCUUAACUGGGGAACUGCGUGUGAUACUGGAUGGCUUGGAUGUGGGAGAGGGAUGCGGAAUUCCAGGUGUAGCGGUGAAAUGCGUAGAUAUCUGGAGGAACACCGGUGGCGAAGGCGGCAUCCUGGACCAAUAUUGACGCUGAGGAGCGAAAGCUAGGGGAGCAAACGGG
rnacentral:rRNA from 1 species